CUACGGGUGGCUCUAGUGGGGAAUAUUGGACAAUGGGCGAAAGCCUGAUCCAGCAAUACCGCGUGUGUGAAGAAGGCCUGAGGGUUGUAAAGCACUUUCAAUAGGAAGGAAUACCUAUCGGUUAAUACCCGGUAGACUGACAUUACCUAUACAAGAAGCACCGGCUAACGCCGUGCCAGCAGCCGCGGUAAUACGGAGGGUGCAAGCGUUAAUCGGAAUUACUGGGCGUAAAGCGUGCGUAGGCGGUUAUUUAAGUCAGAUGUGAAAGCCCUGGGCUUAACCUGGGAACUGCAUUUGAUACUGGAUGACUAGAGUUGAGUAGAGGAGAGUGGAAUUUCAGGUGUAGCGGUGAAAUGCGUAGAGAUCUGAAGGAACACCAGUGACGAAGGCGGCUCUCUGGACUCAAACUGACGCUGAGGUACGAAAGCGUGGGUAGCAAACAGGAUUAGAUACCCUAGUAGUC
rnacentral:rRNA from 1 species